rnacentral:rRNA from 1 species
UGGGGAAUAUUUCACAAUGGGCGCAAGCCUGAUGCAGCCAUGCCGCGUGUAUGAAGAAGGCCGUCGGGUUGUAAAGUACUUUCAGUCGGGAGGAAGGCGGUAAGGUUAAUAACCUUAUCAAUUGACGUUACCGACAGAAGAAGCACCGGCUAACUCCGUGCCAGCAGCCGCGGUAAUACGGAGGGUGCAAGCGUUAAUCGGAAUUACUGGGCGUAAAGCGCACGCAGGCGGUUGAUUGAGUCAGAUGUGAAAUCCCCGGGCUUAACCCGGGAAUUGCAUCUGAUACUGGUCAGCUAGAGUCUUGUAGAGGGGGGUAGAAUUCCAUGUGUAGCGGUGAAAUGCGUAGAGAUGUGGAGGAAUACCGGUGGCGAAGGCGGCCCCCUGGACAAAGACUGACGCUCAGGUGCGAAAGCGUGGGGAGCAAACAGG